UUACAGUGGAAUAAAAUGCAUAAAUUAGCGAACUGAACCACUUGUUGGAAAUCGAGCUUCAGUGGCCAUUUUUCUGCACGGUUGUUGUCAUUUUGCUAGAUCUUUGUGUAAAGUUGUAAUUCACCUCUGCCCUCUCCGCCACAGACAUCGGUGCUGUGUAAGUCUGCUGUGCACGCCGGCGCAACGUCCGACCAGCUCGGAGGUCGCGUGAGCAUGAGCCGUGAGAGGAGCCUGACGCUUUACGAGUCCACCUUUUCCAACGGGAUCCUUUCUAAAACGGGCUCAUUAUCUGAAAAGAAACUGGUGUUCACUCAAGAAUGUAAUAACAUCCUGACGGCGACUGGUUUAAACGCCUCAUCUUUUGGUGACAAAGAGGACAAACUGUCCUGGUCCGCCAAGAAUGUACAUUCUGGACACGAGGGGCUCGUCUGGACCGCAGGCUGGAACGAUCCGUCGCCUUGGGUGGAGCUUGGACUCGCUGAUAAAAGCUCUAUCACAGGUAGGAUUGAACGGGAGUUUUCGGAAGAAAAUUAGCCCUCUUGAAAA